rnacentral:rRNA from 1 species
GAUGAACGCUGGCUACAGGCUUAACACAUGCAAGUCGAGGGGAAACGGCAUUGAGUGCUUGCACUGAAUGGACGUCGACCGGCGCACGGGUGAGUAACGCGUAUCCAACCUUCCCGUUACUGCGGGAUAACCUGCCGAAAGGCAGACUAAUACCGCAUGUUCUUCGAUGACGGCAUCAGAUUCGAAGCAAAGAUCCGUCGGUAACGGAGGGGGAUGCGUCUGAUUAGCUAGUUGGCGGGGCGACGGCCCACCAAGGCGACGAUCAGUAGGGGUUCUGAGAGGAAGGUCCCCCACAUUGGAACUGAGACACGGUCCAAACUCCUACGGGAGGCAGCAGUGAGGAAUAUUGGUCAAUGGGCGGAAGCCUGAACCAGCCAAGUAGCGUGCAGGAGGACGGCCCUAGGGGUUGUAAACUGCUUUUAUGCGGGGAUAAAGUGAGGGACGCGUCCCUUUUUGCAGGUACCGCAUGAAUAAGGACCGGCUAAUUCCGUGCCAGCAGCCGCGGUAAUACGGAAGGUCCGGGCGUUAUCCGGAUUUAUUGGGUUUAAAGGGAGCGUAGGCCGGGGAUUAAGUGUGUUGUGAAAUGUAGGCGCCCAACGUCUGACUUGCAGCGCAUACUGGUUCCCUUGAGUACGCGCAACGCCGGCGGAAUUCGUCGUGUAGCGGUGAAAUGCUUAGAUAUGACGAAGAACCCCGAUUGCGAAGGCAGCCGGCGGGAGCGCAACUGGCGCUGAAGCUCGAAGGUGCGGGUAUCGAACAGG